GAUAACAUGUUGAGGACUCCCAAGAGCUCUUAUUGAUGAAGUCGUUUGGCACUUAAAUGUUUAUUCAUCACAUUCUAGGAUUGAAAAAGGUCUCAAGAGUUUAGUUGUUCGUCAUUCAAGUGGUACGUGAGUUUGUUGACUCAUAUGG
rnacentral:ncRNA from 1 species